GAUGAACGCUGGCGGCGUGCCUAAUACAUGCAAGUCGAGCGAACAGACGAGGAGCUUGCUCCUCUGACGUUAGCGGCGGACGGGUGAGUAACACGUGGAUAACCUACCUAUAAGACUGGGAUAACUUCGGGAAACCGGAGCUAAUACCGGAUAAUAUAUUGAACCGCAUGGUUCAAUAGUGAAAGACGGUUUUGCUGUCACUUAUAGAUGGAUCCGCGCCGCAUUAGCUAGUUGGUAAGGUAACGGCUUACCAAGGCGACGAUGCGUAGCCGACCUGAGAGGGUGAUCGGCCACACUGGAACUGAGACACGGUCCAGACUCCUACGGGAGGCAGCAGUAGGGAAUUUCCGCAAUGGGCGAAAGCCUGACGGAGCAACGCCGCGUGAGUGAUGAAGGUCUUCGGAUCGUAAAACUCUGUUAUUAGGGAAGAACAAAUGUGUAAGUAACUAUGCACGUCUUGACGGUACCUAAUCAGAAAGCGACGGCUAACUACGUG
rnacentral:rRNA from 1 species